rnacentral:rRNA from 1 species
CCUACGGGUGGCAGCAGUGGGGGAUAUUGCACAAUGGGGGGAACCCUGAUGCAGCGACGCCGCGUGGGUGAAGGAGUGCUUCGGCAUGUAAAGCCCUAUCGGCAGGGAAGAAGCAAGACGGUACCUGACUAAGAAGCCCCGCCGAAAUACGUGCCAGCAGCCGCGGUAAGACGCAGGGGGCGAGCUUUAUCAGGAUUCACUGGGUGUAAAGGGAGCGUAGCCGGCGAUGCAAGCCAGGGGUGAAAGCCCGGGGCCCAACCCCGGGACUGCAGUUGACACUGGUUGGUGGGAGUGCGGGAGGGGCAGGCGGAAUGCGUGGUGUAGCGGUGAAAUGUGUAGAUAGCAGGAGGAACACCGGGGGCGAAGGCGGCCUGCUGGACGGCGACUGACGUUGAGGCUCGAAAGCGUGGGGAGCGAACAGGAUGAGAUACCCGGGUAGUC